GGGAAACAUUUGUCAGCCUCCUGCUCCACCCCUUUUGAUAUCUGACUCUCCACUGGAUGGGCUAAAAAAUCAGAUGUCUUGGGUUGGAGUCCUGCAUUGCCAUUUCUCUAACAUGCUACUUACCUUCUCUGAGCCUCCAUCUCCUCACCUGUAAAAGGGAAUGAUAACAUCUUUGGUGGCUGUGAUGACUGAGACAAUACAAAUAAGAUGCUUAUAGCAAUAGCGCAGAUGAUGUCUUUCCUUUGGUUUGUGAUGCAACAAAGAAAGUGUAGGGUGACCAGACAUCAUAGUUUGCCUGAGACUGAUGAAUUUCCUGGGACAUGGUUCUGUCAGUUUUAAAAUGGAAUGGUGCCAGACAAAUCUGGAUGAAGUUGUCAGCCUAGAGACAGAAGGAUGUGUAUUCAGUUAGUCUUAAUCCCAACUUGAAUAAAUCAAAUUACAUGCUAGAAGAACAAAGUUAUACUGGGGCAUAGAGCAGAGCAUAGCAAAUUCCUUCACAAAGAAGAAGGAAAGAGCAUUUCAUACAGAGGGAGCUGAAGAAGCAAAGGCAUGGAGCUGUGCUUCUAGAAACAUAUUCUAUCUUCAGAAUCAAACUGGCGUCAGUGCUGAGAUCUAAGCCACAAGCUCAUGCUAGGAGAAAUAUUCUUACCUUGAAAAAACACAUACAAUUUAUUAAAUCAAAGAAAUCAGCAACAGCUGUGUGGAAGAUAAAGAUAAAGAAGAAAUAAUUUGUGGAAAAAUAUUUUGGGACAGUACACUUUCCUCCUCUGGCAACUUUCCCUUAAUACAUACAAAAGAAAGAAAUGGGUCAGCAUCCCCACUCUGGAAUGGUUGCGUAAGCAAGAGGAGUCUUUUAAAG